CCCUACUAUGUAACUCGAUUCUACUUUUGAUUCUAUUCGAAACUCAUUUCCGAUUCUACUUUCAAAUAGUACCACGUAUGAAAGUAGAAUCGAAUGCCAAUUAUACCAACUUAUUUUCAAAAAAUUUUCUACUUUCGAACGAGUAUCGAGUUGUUUGACAGUUUUAAAAACAAAAUAAUAAAAAACAAUAAUAAAACAUCAAAUUUUUGGACAAAAAUAAUUAUUAAAAAAAUGGACACCGUUAGAAUUUGGUUCAAUUUGCAAGGAAAUGAAGAACGGUACGAGCGAAUUAAACGCAGAAGAAUAAGUGAUAGUUCCAAAAUAAUGGAGCUGAGUGAGAAAAUGUUUGCACAUAUAGGGUCCGCCAUAGAAUGUUUUUUUUCGACAAGUGCUUUUUUAGUGAAUGGUUACACUUAGCUCAUGUCUGAUUUCACAGUUAAUUAGAUUAUCGUUCAGCUAAACGAAUAUGGUUCAUCACCUUUUCAGAUGGAGCUCAUUUUGAUCUUUGCGGGUAUGUAAACAAGCAAAAUUGUCGCAUUUGGUUCACAGAAAACCCGUACGCAUACAUUGAAUAGGCGAUACAUCCAAAACAAGUCACUGUUUGGUGCGGAUUCUGGUUUAGAGGCAUAAUUGGAUUAAUUUUCUUCGAAAAUAAGCAAGGAGUGUCCGCUACAGUCAAUGGCGAUCGUUAUCGGGCCAUGUGAACGAAAAGUUCACAGACGGAUGAGGAGUAUAUUGGCAAAAUUUGGUUUCCACAGGACGGCGGCGCUACAUAUUUAACGGACCAUUUAUAUGUAUAUACGGUAGAAUAUUUGAACGCAUUCCUAAUCAAAAAUGCUUUUGUUUUAGUUUUUUUUAGAACUAUCGUCUAAAGACUAAACUAAAGACGGGUUUAUGUUCUUACUUAAGACCAUAUUAUCCGACAUGACUUCUCGCAGAAGACAAAAUGCUUUUCCAAUUAUCAUGAAGUUAUCAUUGAAGUUUUUGGCAAUAAAAAGUUACCAAAACCACAACAGUGAUGAUAAGAACGCUGGACGUGCAUAGCAAACCAUAACAAAAAUACUUGCCGAAGUUUUGACUUCAAUCGAAAGUGUCAUGUGCCUGCUGAUGAUGAAUUUUGAAAUGAAUGAGGAAGAGAAACGAAAGUCCAAACGCUAUUUUUGGCAAAAA